GGGGCUGACCGGUAUUGACAGGAUGUGUGAAUCCGUGCACCAGCAUGCAAGCUCAUGAGGGUAGAGCUUUGAUCACUGCUCUCAACAAUUUACGUGGCGAAAAUACUUACGCCAUGGCUGCUUAAUCUGUCCCAAGGAUAGAUCAGCUUAUGCCGAGAUAAGAUCUCCGCAAGCCAUCAUCGCUCGUCUUCUCUGUUUUGCGGGGGGCGAAUACGCGGUGUCGAUCAGCAGAACUGGGCCGCGGUGUGGUUACGCAUCGUUGUUAAGACUACAGUAACUACGGAGGAGUUGAGGCUGUUGCCUGCCUUGCGCUUCCCGACAAUCAAAGUCAACUAAGCAUGUAGAACGUACGCGUUUAUCUUCUCUGGACCAGGGUUCGAUUCCCUGCAGCUCCACUG
rnacentral:tmRNA from 1 species